AUGUUGGGUUAAGUCCCGUAACGAGCGCAACCCUUGUCCUUAGUUACCAGCACGUUAUGGUGGGCACUCUAAGGAGACUGCCGGUGACAAACCGGAGGAAGGUGGGGAUGACGUCAAGUCAUCAUGGCCCUUACGGCCUGGGCUACACACGUGCUACAAUGGUCGGUACAGAGGGUUGCCAAGCCGCGAGGUGGAGCUAAUCCCACAAAACCGAUCGUAGUCCGGAUCGCAGUCUGCAACUCGACUGCGUGAAGUCGGAAUCGCUAGUAAU
rnacentral:rRNA from 1 species